rnacentral:rRNA from 1 species
AAAAGGCUUAGUGGCGGACGGGUGAGUAACGCGUGGGUAACCUGGCCCAUACAGGGGGAUAACACUUAGAAAUAGGUGCUAAUACCGCAUAACAACAGAAAGCGCAUGCUUUUUGUUCGAAAACCAAGGUGGUAUGGGAUGGACCCGCGUCUGAUUAGCUGGUUGGCGGGGUAAAGGCCCACCAAGGCGACGAUCAGUAGCCGGCCUGAGAGGGUGGACGGCCACAUUGGGACUGAGACACGGCCCAAACUCCUACGGAAGGCAGCAG